rnacentral:rRNA from 1 species
UACGUAGGGUGCAAGCGUUGUCCGGAAUUAUUGGGCGUAAAGAGCUCGUAGGCGGUUCGUUAAGUCGGAUGUGAAAGCCCUCGGCUCAACUGAGGAAGUGCACCCGAAACUGGCGAGCUUGAGUACGAAAGAGGAUCGCGGAAUUUCCGGUGUAGCGGUGAAAUGCGUAGAUAUCGGAAGGAACACCAGUGGCGAAAGCGGCUUCCUGGUCCAGCACCGACGUUCAGGCACGAAAGCGUGGGGAGCAAACAGG